rnacentral:rRNA from 1 species
CCUACGGGGGGCUGCAGUGAGGAAUAUUGGUCAAUGGACGCAAGUCUGAACCAGCCAUGCCGCGUGCAGGAAGACGGUUCUAUGAGUUGUAAACUGCUUUUGUACGAGGGUAAACUCAGAUACGCGUAUCUGUCUGAACGUAUCGUACGAAUAAGGAUCGGCUAACUCCGUGCCAGCAGCCGCGGUAAUACGGAGGAUUCAAGCGUUAUCCGGAUUUAUUGGGGUUAAAGGGUGCUUAGGCGGUCGGAUAAGUUAGAGGUGAAAUCCCGGGGCUCAACUUCGGAAUUGCCUCUGAUACUGUUGGGCUAGAGAGUGGGAGCGGUAGGCGGAAUGUAUGGUGUAGCGGUGAAAUGCUUAGAGAUCAUACAGAACACCGAUUGCGAAGGCAGCUUACCAAGCUACAUCUGACGUUGAGGCACGAAAGCGUGGGGAGCAAACAGGAUUAGAUACCCGAGUAGUC